rnacentral:rRNA from 1 species
UGAGUAACGCGUAUCCAACCUGCCGUCUACUCUUGGACAGCCUUCUGAAAGGAAGAUUAAUACAAGAUGGCAUCAUGAGUCCGCAUGUUCACAUGAUUAAAGGUAUUCCGGUAGACGAUGGGGAUGCGUUCCAUUAGAUAGUAGGCGGGGUAACGGCCCACCUAGUCUUCGAUGGAUAGGGGUUCUGAGAGGAAGGUCCCCCACAUUGGACUGAGACACGGCCAA